GAUGAACGCUGGCGGCGUGCCUAAUACAUGCAAGUCGAGCGAACAGAUGAGGAGCUUGCUCCUCUGACGUUAGCGGCGGACGGGUGAGUAACACGUGGAUAACCUACCUAUAAGACUGGGAUAACUUCGGGAAACCGGAGCUAAUACCGGAUAAUAUAUUGAACCGCAUGGUUCAAUAGUGAAAGACGGUUUUGCUGUCACUUAUAGAUGGAUCCGCGCCGCAUUAGCUAGUUGGUAAGGUAACGGCUUACCAAGGCAACGAUGCGUAGCCGACCUGAGAGGGUGAUCCGCCCCACUGGAAUUGAGAACCGGUCCAGACUCCUAAGGGAGGCCGCAGUAGGGAAUCUUGCGCAAUGGGCGAAAGCCUGACGGAGCAACGCAGCGUGAGUGAUGAAGGUCUUCGGAUCGUAAAACUCUGUUAUUAGGGAAGAACCAAUGUGUAAGUACCUAUCCACGUCUUGACGGUACCUAAUCAGAAAGCCACGGCUAACUACGUG
rnacentral:rRNA from 1 species